AUAUCCCUGCUGUUUGCGUGAAUAGCCGUCUAGUUUUUGCCAACACAAAAACUAUGGGAGUUCGGCCUUCAUAUAUGACGUGUAUGCCUACCUUGGUGGGACACAUAAAGUAUGUGAGAGAACACCCCCCUGCCCUGCAGGACAAAACUCACGGCGCCACGGAUCAGUGGGGUUUUU
rnacentral:other from 1 species